UAUACAAAACGACUCUCGACAUCGGAUAUCUCGGCUCUUGCAUUGAUGAAGAACGUAACGAAAUACGAUACUUGGUGUGAUUUGUAGAAUCUUGUGAACCAUUGAGUCUUUGAACGCAAGUUAUGCCCCAAGCCAUUAGGCUGAGGGCAUGUCUGCCUGGGUGUCACGUAUCGUUGCCCCUAUCCAACCCUUAGCUCUCGGGCCUCGAUUGAAUUGUAGGCAAAAAUUGGCCUCCCGUGCGCUCACAGCUAGCAGUUGGCCUAAAUUUGAGUCUUUGACAAUAUCAUCGUCGUGUUGAUCGGUGGUAAUGCUCUAUUAGCAUAGCCUCGUUCAAAGUUGUGCAUGAUGGUUGAUCGAGGCCCUCAAACCCUUUUGGGAUCGCAAUGACAGUGCUUGUAUCGCGACCCCAAGUAAGGUGGAAUUACCCACUGAGUUUAAGCAUAUCAAUAAGCGGAGGAAAAGAAACUUACUAAGAUUUCCUUAGUAACCGCGAGCGAACCAAGAAAAGCCCAGCUCAAGAAUCGGAUGCCAUCGACAUCCGAUUUGUAAUCUGGAGAAGCAUCCUCACAAUGGACCGGGCUCAAGUCCCUUAAAAAGUGGCAUCGGAGAGGGUGAGAGCCCCGUCGUGCCCGAACCCUAUCGCACCAUGAAGCACUGUCUAUGAAUCGAGUUAUUUAGGAUUGUAACCCUAAUCGAGUGGUAAAUUCUGUCCAAGGCUAAAUACGAGCGAGAGACCGAUAGCGAACAAGUACCGCGUGGGAAAGAUGAAAAGGACUUUGACAAGAGAGUUAAAGAGUGCUUGAAAUUGUUGGAAGGGAAGUAGAUGGGGGCUGGCGAUACGCCCCGAUCAGAUGUGGAACGGCGAGAGUCGAUCUGUCGAUCAACUGGGGCGUGGACCGUCAUGAGUUAUUACGGUGGCCCAAGCCUGAGCUCUUGAUACACCCAUGGAGAAAUCGUCGCCUCGACGUGGGAUCCAGCACGCGCCAUCUCAGCAUGCUUAUGCACUUACGUGCUCUAUGCAUUGGCCAAUGAGCUCCCCAUUUGGCCCGUCUUGAAACACGGACCAAGGAUUCUAACAUGUGUACGAGUCAACAGGCUAGAAAACCCGUAAGGCAUAAGGAAGCUGAUUGGCGGGAUCCUUCAUGGGUGCAUCACCGACCGACCUUGAUCUUUUGAGAAGGGUUUGAGUGAGAGCAUGCCUAUGAGGACUCGAAAGAUGGUGAACUAUGCCUGAGCGAGGCGAAGCUAGAGGAAACUUUGGUGGAGGCCCGCAGCGAUACUGACAUGCAAAUCGUUCGUCUGACUUGGGUAUAGGGGCGAAAGGCUAAUCGAACCGUCUAGUAGCUGGUUCCCUCCGAAGUUUCCUUCAAGAUAGCUGGAGCCCUUAGCGAGUUCUAUCGGGUAAAGCCAAUGAUUAGAGGCAUGGAGGGCGCAAUGCCCUCGACCUAUUCUCAAACUUUAAAUAGGUAGGAUGGCGCAGCUGCUUCGUUGAGCCGCGCCAUAGAAUCGAGAGUUCCAAGUGGGCCAUUUUUGGUAAGCAGAACUAGUAAUGCGGGAUGAACCAGAAGUCGAGUUACGGUGCCCAACUGCAUGUUAACCUAGAACCCACAAAGGGUGUUGGUCGAUUACGACAGUAAGAUGAUGGUCAUGGAAGUCGAAAUCCGCUAAGGAGUGUGUAACAGCUCACCUGUCGAAUCAACUAGCCCCAAAAAUGGAUGGCGCUUAAGUGCAAGACCUAUACCCGAUUGUCAGGGCAAGGGUCAGGCCUCGAUGAGUAGGAGGGCACGGCGAUCGUCGUAAAACCUAGGGUACAAGCCCGAGCGGAGUGGUCAUCGGUGUAGAUCUUGGUGGGAGUAGCAAAUAUUUAAAUAAGAACUUUGAAGGUCGAAGAGGGGAAAGGUUCCAUGUGAACGACACUUGUACAUGGGUUAGUUGAUCCUAAGAUACGAGGAAAGCCCGUCCGAUAGCGCAUUCAGCACGAGCUUCGUAAAGGAAUCAAGAAAAAAUUCUUGAACCGGGAUGCGAUGGCUGACAGUAAUGUUAGCGAGUUUGGAGACGUCGACGAGGGCCUCGAGAAGAGUUAUCUUUUCUGUUUAACGGCCUGCCCACCUUGGAAACGACUCAACCAGAGGUAGGGUCCAGCGACCAAAAGAUCACCACACGUCGCGUGGUGUUUAGUACGCCCCCGGCGACCCUUGAAAAUCCAAAAGACCGUGUGUCGUAAGCACCCGAUCGUACUCGUAACCGCAUUAGAUCUCUAAGAUGAACAACCUUUAGUCAAUGGAACAAUGUAGGCAAGGGAAGUCGGUAAAAUGGAUCUGUAACCUCAAGAAAAGGAUUGGCUCUUAGGGUUGUGCACGCGGGUUACAAUCUCGAACCCAUCGACUGCUAGUGAACUACUCGAGCUACUCUCGCGGUGAGAACGGGUCAUCGCAUGUCGGUCGGAGGACAGACUGGGAACGGCUCCCUCAGGGGCCUUCUCCGGGCGAUGAACAGUCGA
rnacentral:rRNA from 1 species